rnacentral:hammerhead_ribozyme from 1 species
AUUCUAUUGAGGUGUCCCAUAAUAGGACGAAACGGCCGUCCAGUGU